rnacentral:rRNA from 1 species
GCCUACACGAAGUUGGAAUUGCUAGUAAUCGUGGAUCAGCAUGCCACGGUGAAUACGUUCCCGGGUCUUGUACACACCGCCCGUCACACCAUGGGAGCUGGUAACACCCGAAGUCAGUAGUCUAACCGCAAGGAGGACGCUGCCGAAGGUGGGAUUAGCGACUGGGGUGAAGUCGUAACAAGGUAAC